CUGAACCUGAUCUGCCUUAUUGCGAGACCCUGCAGGGGCAAAUAGACACGAAGAUGGGCAACUAACAGGGAGGUUGAACAACGUCUUACAGCAAAUUAAGUAAUUGUAUGGUGUUGCAGGAAGGGUUUUAAAAGCGGUGAUUCAGGCUUUCAGCUCACCUGCCGUUCACAGUACGCCUUCAUUAGUUUGCUGAGAGGUGUGUGUCUUUUGAUUUUGAACUGGACCACCGACCCAUCUUGCCCGGCAACCUUGAGGUUGAUGUGAUCGUUCUCAGUCUUUACUCCCUCCUGUAGAAACAAAAAUGUUUAACAUCCGGUAGACCAGCAGGUUACAGGUAACAGAGAUAUCACAUAACAUAUAACAGGUCGUAACAUUACACUAGGGUCACAGAUGCACCACAGGAAAGAGCACCGCCAUCAUAAGACUAAUACAAGCCAAGCUAACGUGCGCGCUUUGGACCGCUGUUAAAAAUAAACGAUAGGUUCGGAGAGGACCACGUGACCUUUGGAGGCGGGAGCGCGGACGCGGGAGCGCGCACAUAUGCAAAAUACUCGAUCACGCGAACUGAAGAACCCAUGAAGCCGUCCUCUGCAUCUUGGCCUCAAACCUCUUGGAUCUGACACACAAACACAAGACCAAAGUUAACAGCGGAGAAGGCAGAUCAGGAGGGCGAUGAUGAUGAUUGCACUAAUCACUGACACAGUGAUUAUCAAUAUCUGGAAGUUCACUACAGACCGAGACAGAGAAGCACAAUGUCAAAGUUAAGCAGGAAUCCACAGUCACGCAUUAAGGAAUUUCCCCUCGGGGAUCAAUAAAGUAUUUCUGAUUCUUAUUUCUGAUCAUGAUUGACCUUCAAGACAAAGAAAAAAAAUGUUCUACUUCUCUCCGUAGUUCUCCUUUUCUUCAUUUGUUGUUUAAAUAUCACCGUUAUUGUGUAAGCAACAUUUUGCUGUUGUCGGACCAUGACGUGCUUGCUAAGUCUAAUAUGUUUAUGAUCUUGGAUAGUUUGCACAUAUUCUUUAUACUGUCAACAUUUGCACAUUCUUUGGUCAAUAUUUUUGUUCUUUCAAUUAUCUCUUUUAUUUUGGAUUAUUUAAUUUUGUAUAAUUAUGCUUUUCGACUUUUGCAGUACUUUUUUUUCUGUUGUUACCAUGGCAAAUUCCUUGUACUGUAUGUUAAAAACCUACUUGGCAAAUAAACCAUCUUCUGUUUCAACCUACAGCAAAGCACGGAGGGGAUGUAUUAAGCAAAACAUCCCUGGUUAUUGUAUCUAUUAUCAAUCUCUAAAUAGAUAUUAGAUAAGAUAUAUUUUUUCCAGAAAAUUUAUUAUAUCUAAUGGUUUUAUGUCAUGGUGUUCUAAUUGUAAUAUAAAAUAACAUGUAUUGUGAAGCACUAUGUUUGCUAAAAUACAUGCUAAGUUUUUCCUGAUUUACGAAAAUUGAGGAUGAGGUGUUGUACUUGGCUAUAUCCACUUACUAUUGGCAAACUGGUUAUGUAGCACAAAGGAGAAGUGCUAUUGCUAUAGUGAGCUGCUGCAAUAGAACUGUAAAACCAAAUUCAGGAAACUACAUACAGAAAAAAUUUAUUUUCUGUAGCCAUGGUAUAUAAGAGCUUAGAAGUACUUACAAGUUAAUUAAUUUAUUA